CCAACAGGGAUUGCCUCAGUAACGGCGAGUGAAGCGGCAACAGCUCAAAUUUGAAAUCUGGCCCCCGGCCCGAGUUGUACUUUGCAGAGGAUGCUUCUGGCGCGGUGCCUUCCAAGUCCCCUGGAAUGGGGCGCCGGAGAGGGUGAGAGCCCCGUACGGUCGGCCGCCAAGCCUGUGUGAAGCUCCUUCGAAGAGUCGAGUAGUUUGGGAAUGCUGCUCUAAGCGGGAGGUAGACCCCUUCUAAAGCUAAAUACCGGCCAGAGACCGAUAGCGCACAAGUAGAGUGAUCGAAAGAUGAAAAGCACUUUGAAAAGAGGGUUAAACAGCACGUGAAAUUGUUGAAAGGGAAGCGCUCGUGCCCAGACGUGCGCUGGGGCGAUCAUCCGGCGUUCUCGCCGGUGCACUCGCCCCGGCGCAGGCCAGCGUCGGCUCGGGUGGGGGGACAAAGGCGCCUGGAACGUGGCCCCUCCGGGGGUGUUAUAGCCAGGCGUGCCAUGCCUCCGCCCGGGCCGAGGUCCGCGCUCUGCAAGGACGCUGGCGUAAUGGGCACCGGCGGCCCGUCUUGAAACACGGACCAAGGAGUCAAGGUCUUGCGCGAGUGUCUGGGUGCCAAACCCGCACGCGCAAUGAAAGUGAACGCAGGUGGGAGCUUCGGCGCACCACCGACCGAUCCUGAUGUUCUCGGAUGGAUUUGAGUAGGAGCGUAGGGCCUUGGACCCGAAAGAUGGUGAACUAUGCUUGGAUAGGGUGAAGCCAGAGGAAACUCUGGUGGAGGCUCGCAGCGGUUCUGACGUGCAAAUCGAUCGUCAAAUCUGAGCAUGGGGGGCGAAAGACUAAUCGAACCAU
rnacentral:rRNA from 2 species